UGUGGGAUAGCUGGGUCAAAUGUGGUUCCACUCCAAGUUUUCUGAGGAAUUGCUAUACUUCUUUCUAGAGUGGAUGUACCAAUUUUAAGUCCCACCAGCAAU
rnacentral:pre_miRNA from 1 species